CCUACGGGUGGCAGCAGUAGGGAAUAUUGCUCAAUGGGGGAAACUCUGAAGCAGCAACGCCGCGUGGAGGAUGAAGGCUCUCGGAGUGUAAACUUCUUUUGUUAGAGAAGAUAAUGACGGUAUCCAAAGAAUAAGCACCGGCUAACUCCGUGCAAGCAGCAGCGGGAAUACGGAGGGUGCAAGCGUUACUCGGAAUCACUGGGCGUAAAGAGGGCGUAGGCGGGAUAGCAAGUCAGAUGUGAAAUCCUAUGGCUUAACCAUAGAACUGCAUUUGAAACUGUUAUUCUAGAGUAUGGGAGAGGUAGGUGGAAUUCUUGGUGUAGCGGUAAAAUCCGUAGAGAUCAAGAGGAAUACUCAUUGCGAAGGCGACCUGCUAGAACAUAUCUGACGCUGAUGCGCGAAAGCGUGGGGAGCAAACAGGAUUAGAUACCCGGGUAGUC
rnacentral:rRNA from 1 species